rnacentral:tRNA from 1 species
GAGGACAUAGCUCAGUGGUAGAGCGCUUGCUUGGCGCUCCUGGGUUCAAUCCCCAGUACCUCCA